GAUGCAGCAAACCACCAUCAUGGCACGUGUAUACCUAUGUAACAAACCUGCAUGAUUGGUACAUGUACUUCAGAACUUAAAGUAUAAUAAGUAAAUUUGAAAAGGAAAGAAAAGAAAAAUGAAAUGAGUCACUAUUCCAUGUAUAGCCAGGUGUUCACAUAUGCAGUCUCAAUUUCAACUGUGAACUGCAUCCAUGAAUUAGAUUUAGGACCUCACCAGUGGGUUCUGCUUAUGUGUGAGGGUGACAAGGCCAGCGGUUGGCUGGGGGUGCAUAGAGUAAGAAAUAUUUCUAUUGUGUGCUGGGCCUUGAAUUUAUACUCUCUGUAUCACCCAAGGGCUUUAUACAAUAUGGGAUAAAGUGGUACUUUUUUAAUGAUCUUUGUACAAAGAGAAGACCUAGAAUCUUACCUGUUUCUCUCAGCUUAGCUAGAACAGAGAGUAUCUUUUACUGGCUAAUUUGAUAUAUGGACCCUCCAAUAGGGGAGAUUUUGCCUUUUUUUAGACUUAGGGCAAUGGAUAAAAUACUGCAUCUCCUAUGUGAGGAAACGUGACAUGAGAUUAUGACACUCAAGCUUAUUCUAUAACGCUUUUGUGUGACAAUUAAGAGUAUAAUAACAGAAUCCAGUACACAGGUGAAAUUAUAACUCUCAUAGGCACACCCAGGUGAAAAUUAGAAUUGUUACUUUCACACAUAGAAAGAACCCACUGCGGAGGUCCUGAAUCUCACAGGCACUCUCCACAAUUAGAUUUGUGACAGUCAGAUGUGGGUCCCAGGACAGUUGGCAUGCUAAUUUUUGGAGCCAACUUACAGACAAUUUGAUGACUGUCAUACCUAUAUCUGGCCAAUAUGAGAGAUGUGGGCAUGGGGCAAUGGGUACAAUCAUUGCUUCAUUGAUUUAUGCCAGAAUGGAGGUCUCAAAGCAGAUUGCAACUGCCACUUACACCAUAUAAAGCCCGUGGGUAAUACAGAGGGUGUCAUCACAAAACCAAGAACACAGGUGAAAUUGUGACUCUCCUGUGCACACUCAGCCAACUGUAAACACCGUCACUCUCACACAUAGAAACCGUCCACUGUGAGGCUGUGGAUCUCACAUGGAGGUAGUUGAAAGUUGGAAUUGUGACUCAUACAUGGACCUGCUUAACAGGUAGAAUAGCGACUCAAAGAGCAGGAUUCAGAACAUCUGUGAGGCUGUGACUCAUAAAUUCAGAAAUUGUUUGCAUUUGGAGUUGUGGCUCUCUUGCAGGGAUAGAGUCCAACAGGAAGGUUGUGACCCACGUACUUGAACCCAACUCAAAUGAGAUCUCUUGACCCUCAUACCUGAAGUCAAAAAAUGUGUGGAGGCCGGGCAUGCUGGCUCACUCUUGUAAUCAUGGCACUUUGGGGGGCCAAGGCAGGUGGAUCACCUGAGGUUGAAAGUUCAAGACCAGUCUGAACAAUAUGGAGAAAACCCAUCUCUACUAAAAAUCCAAAACUAGCCAGGCAUUGUGGUGCAUGCCUAUAAUCCCAGCUACUUGGGAGGCUGAGGCAGGAGAGUAGCUUGAACCCAGGAGGGGGAGGUUGUAGUGAGCCAAGAUUGUGACAUUGCACUCCAGCCUGGGCAACAAUGAAACUCCAUCUCAAAAGAAAAAAAGAGUCUGGAAUUUUGAAUCUAAUUUCUCAGCCUUCUUGCUAGUGUGAUUGUAACAUCUACCUUUGCCUAGCACCUGAGUGAUUUGGCUAUCCUGCCUGGGUAAAGCCCAGAAAAAAUUGUGAUUUUAAAAAAAUUAUUUUUUUUUUUACCUGGGCCAAGCAUUUAAGUUAUUUUACUUUCCUGCAUAGGCCAUGUCCUCAGGGAAAAUUGUGACAUAUCACUGUGCCCAUAACCUAGGUUAUAUAAUCAUCCUCUUCUGCCUGGGCCCUGCCAACAGACAUAAUUGUAGCAUAUAGUUGGGCCAAUCACCUAAGUGAUGUGACGUUACUCUUUGCCGUGGGCUUUGCUGAAGUGCAGGUUGUGACAUAUCACUGAGCCCUAUGCAUAAAUAAUAUGACUCUCCUGCCUUGGCUCCUCCAAAAGGAGGCAUUUUGAUAUAUCUAUUGGCCCAUCAACUGGGCCUAUUGUGACCCUUUUCUCUUACCCGAGUCCUGUCCACACAGUGACAUAUUUCUGUGCCCUGCAUGCAGAUAGUGUGUCUUUCCUUAUGAAUGCUGCCCACUGAAGGCAUUGAGACAUACUGCUGGGCCCAGUACCCAGGUUAUGUGACUUUUCUGUCGCAGCCCUGCCCAUAGAGUAGAUAUCGACAUGUUUCUGGUCCGGCAUUCAGGUGAUCUGAUCAUCUUUUCUGGUUUGUUCACAUAGGCUGUUUUGACAUAUAGUUUCCCCAGCUCACAGGCGUUACAAUUACACUCAUAUGAGAACCCAGACAAUAGGAAUGAUUUUGAUGCUCUUAGCUAGACUUUAAGCAGUAGGUAGAGUCCUGGGUUUUCUACUUUUAGAAAAGUUGCAGAGAUGUAUAAAAUUUAUACAAAUCCUAUAAAUAGUUUGUGUGCUACAGAGAAUGCAGUAAUAGGACUCAGCACACAGGCGAGAUUGUGACUCUCACAGGUACAAUAAGCCAACAAUUAGGAUUGUCACUUCCAAACAUGGAAGGAACACACUGGUGAGCUUCUGGACCUCACAUGCUGAUAGAGUCCACAGUUAAAAGUCUGACUGUCAUGUUUACAUCUGGAAACAGGUUGAACAGUGACUGAUUUCUGGACCCAGCUCAGAGGCACAGUGAUUAGUUGCAUACCUGGACCUAGACAAUAGGAGAGAUGUUGACUCUCAUAGGUAGCCUUAAAGCAAUGGGCAAGGUCCUGGGCUUUCUACUCGUAUGAAGGUCACAAAAGUUUACAACACUCAUGCCUAGUGUAUGAUCCUUUCCGGUGAUAGAGAGUGUCAUAAAAGAUCCCAGCACAAAGUAAAGACUGUGAUUCUCAUAGGUGUACUCAGACAACAGAGAAUUGUCACUCCCACACAUGGACAGAGACCACUGGUGAGGUCCUGAGUAUCACAUAUGGAUGCCAUCCCGCAGAUGAAAUUGUGACUGUCAUAUGUGGACCUGGCCACAGGUGAAAUGGUGACUUCUUUCUGCACCCAACUCACAGGCACAAUGAGAACUGUCAUAUCUGAACCUAGCCAAUAAGAGAUGUUAGCUCUCAUUCCUGGCUUAGGACAAUGAGUAAGAUCAUGAGUUCAUACCAGCAUGUAGAUCUAAGUGUGGAUUGUGACUUUCAGGCAUACCAUAGAAAGCACUUAGGUGGCACCAAGAGUGUGAUAACAGGGCCCAGUGCAUAGGGGAGAUAGUGACCCUCAUAGGCACACACAGUUUACAGUAAGAAUUUUCACCCUCUUAGUCACAGCCCAUUGUUGAGUUUCUGAAUCUCACACUCAGAGGCAGCUAAAAGUUAGAAUUGUGAGUCUCAUACAGGGAUCAGGUCCACAGAUGAGAUGAUGACUCUUGGACUGAGAUUUAUUACACCUCUGAGGCUGUGACUCUACUACCAGGACACAUUCUGAAGGUUGAAUUGAGACUCUCGGGCACAAAUCUAGUCAAAUAUUGAGAUUCUGAUUUGCAUACAGGAGGUGUUGGCUGUCAUCCCUAGAACUGGACAUGUUUGGGAUUGUUUAUCUCAUCCCUGGACUUUUCUUGACGUGUGAUUGUGACGUAUGCUUUUUCCCAUAUCCUGAGUGAUUUUAGUUUUCUUCCUGGAGCCAUUCCACAGAUGAAACUGUGACAUAUGCAAAGGUCAAGCAUCAAGCUAAUAUGACUCUCCUCAUCUUCCUCAACCUGCUGUUAAGAAGUGAUUGUUACAUAUUUCUGAAUUUAACACCUGGGUGAUGUGCCUCUUCUCUUAUAACAAGGCUUUCAGCACAGAGAAGACUGUGACAUAUCACUGGGCCCAGCACCUAGGUGAUGUGCUUGUUCUGCCUUAAUUCUCCUCACAUAAAACACUAUGACUUAUUUUGUGGUCAAUCACCUAGGUGAAGUGACUCUUCUCACCUGCCUGGGUCCCAGCUUCAGAAGAACAUGUGACAUACUGCUGGAUCCAGCACCUCGGUGAUUUGAGUCUUCUCUGCUGCCUGAUCUUUGCCAACAGUGGGGAUUGUGAACUAUUCCUUAAUCCAGCACCUAAAUUUUGUGACUCACUUCUUUUGCUCAGUCCUGCGAACGGUAGGAAUUGCAACAUAUUGUGGGAACCAGCAACUAGGUGAUGUGAAUCUCCUCUCUUGCCUAGGCCCUGCCCACAUUGGGCAUUGUUACAUAUUGCUGGGCUCAUCACUUAAGUAAUGUAAUUGUUUUCUGCUUGGAUCUGUCCAUGUAAAGAUUGUGGUAUUUCACUAGGUGCAGAAUCCAGUUGCUAUGACUCUUCUUCCUUGAUCCCACUUAUAGCGAGGAUUGACAUAUUCCUGUCCUAGCAUCCAGGUAAAGUGACUCUUCUGCCAGGUUCUAGUCUACAAGUGAGAUUGUGACAGCCACCCGGGCUCAACUCACUGGUGCGAUAAUGACAAUCAUACCUGAACCCAGCAAAAAGGAGGGAUAUUGGUUCUCUUUGCAAGACUUAGGUCUGGGUGUUUCUUGUAUGAAAGUCAGAGAAAAUUACAAUACUCAUGCAUAUUGUAUAAUGCUUUCAGUUGGUACAGAGUGUCAUAACAGUGCUCAGCACAGAGGUGAGACUGUGACUCUCAUAUGCACACCCAGCCAACAGUUAGGAUUUUAACUUACACAUAUGUUAAGGUCCCAAAUCCCACAUAUAAAUGCAGUUUGCAGUUAGAAUUGUGACUUGCAUGUGGAUCCAGCCACAGGUAAAAUGGUGACUCACUUCUGAAUGCAGCUGACAGACACAGUGAUGACUCUCAUUCUGAAUGAGAGGUUGACGCUCACACCUGGGCUUAGGGCAGCAGUUAAAAUCAUGAGUUACGGCCAGGCGCGGUGGCUCACGCCUAUAAUCCCAGCACUUUGGGAGGCAGAGGCGGGUGGAUCACGAGGUCAAGAGAUCGAGACCAUCCUGGUCAACAUGGGGAAACCCCGUCUCUAUUAUCAGCUGGGCAUGGUGGUGCGCGCCUGUAGUCCCAGCUACUCAGGAGGCUGAGGCAGGAGAAUUGCUUGAACCCAGAAGGUGGAGAUUGCAGUGAGCUGAGAUCGUGCCAUUGCACUCCAGUCUGGGUAACAAGAGCGAAACUCCUUCUCAAAAAAAAAAAAAAAUCAUGAGUUACACCAGCAUUCUGAAUCUGACACCCAGAGGCAGUUGAAAGUUAAAACUGUGACUCUCAUACAUGGAUUCCAUCCACAGGUUGGGUGGUGACUCUUGGACCAGAAUUAAGCACUCCCAUGAGUCUGUUACUUUCAUACCAGGACACAGCCGCUAGGUGGGGCUGGAACUCUCAUGCACAGAUCCAAUUUACUAUUGAGAUGAUGAGUCCUGUACUUGCCCAUAACUCACAGGAGGUGUUUACAGUCACUGGGCCCAACAUCUAGGUGACAUAACUCUCCUCUCAUGUCUGGGCCUUGCCCAUUUUAGGGACUGUGACAUAGCACUGAGCCUAGCACUUUUCUGUGUGGGUUCUGCAUACCGGGGGCAUGGCAACGUAAUGCAGUACCCAACAUUAUGAUGACUCAGGUCACAGGAAUGGUGGUAACUCUCAUACCUGGAUCCAGUCAGUAAGAGAGUUGUUUGAUCCCAGACAUAAUUCUAGGGUAAUAAGAUUGUAAAUCCAUACAUGCAUGGAGGUCUCAGAGCAGAUUGUGGCUCUCAGGUGUGUAUUUUAAAGCCCUCGAAUUGUACAGUGUGUCAUAAUAGGACCCAGAACACUGAUGAGACUGUGACUCUUGUAUGCACACCCAGCUGACAGUGAGAAUUGUCACCCUCCCAGUUGAAUAUGGCACACUGUUGAAGUCCUAAAUGUCAUAGCUGGAGGCAGUCAAAAUUUGGAAUUGUGUCUCAGAAAAAAAUCCAGUCCACAAGUGAGAUAGUUGGAUUUAGCACACCUGUGGUGACUUCUGUGAGUCCCUGCUGGGAUACAGUCUGCUGGUGACAUUGAGGUCUCAUGCACACACUCAGUUCACUGUUGAGUCUGACUCAUACUAGGACCCAACACACAGAUGUUGAAUAUCAUACCUAGACCUGGGACAUAUACAGGAUUUUCAAUCUCAUCUCUGCACCUUCCCACAAAUGUGAUUAUGACAUAUGCUUUGCCCAGCCCCUUAGUAAUUUAACUCUCCUGCCUGGGCCCAGCCCAAAACUGGAAUUGUGGCAUAUACCUGGGCCAGGCACCUAAAUACUGUGACUUUCUUCUUUUGCCUGGGAUCUGCAAACAGAAAAGAGUGUGACAUAUUGCUAAGCCCAGCAUUUAGGUUAUGUGAUUCUUCCUCCAGUCCUUUCUACAAAGCCAUUGUGACAUAUCUCUGGGAACAUUAACUAGAUUAAGGGACUCCCCUCUCAUCCCUGGGUCAUUCCCUCAGGGGGAAUUAUGACAUAUCACUGAACCCAGAACGUAGGUGAUCGAAUUCUCCUCUACUGCCCGGACCCCAUCCACAAUAUGAAUGGUAAUAUAUUGUCGAGCCCAGCAACUAGAUGAAGUCACUUUCAUCUCCUGGAAACCUGCUCAGUGCGGGAGUUACAUGUUGCCAGGCCCAGCACCUAGGUAAUGUGGCUCUCCCCUCCUGUUUAGUCCCUCCCCACAGUGGGAAAUAUGACAUGUGACUGGGCUCACCACCUAGGUGAUGUAAUGCUUCUAUUUCUUGACCCACCCACAGUGGGUAUUGUGACAUAUUACGGUGUUCAAGAGCUAAAUAAUGUGACCCUUUUUUCCUUAUUGAGCCCUGCUCAUAGGGGUUAUUGUGACAUGCAGCUUGGCCUUGAACCCAGAUGAUUUAACUCUCCUACCCAGGCUCUGCCGAUGGAGAACAGUGUGACAUGUCUCCGCAUCCAUGACCCAGGCGAUGUGUUCUGGCUCACAGAAGAGAAUGUAACAUACCACUGGACCCAGCAUCUAGGGGCCUGUACAUAGGGGAGAUUUUGACACAUCACUAAACCCAGCACCUUAGUGAUGUGACUCUCCUGGAACCUGCCCUCAAAGGGAAUGGUGACAUGGGUGAUGUGACCCUCCUCUCCUGCCUGGAUUCUGUCCUAAAAGAGAAUGGUGGGAUGUCUUAUUUCUGGACCCAGCUCAUAGGCACAGUGAUGACUCUUAUACCUGAACCCAGCAAAGAAUAAAUACUGAAUCUUGUAAUAGGAUGUUGUGAAUAUGUGUGUGUGUUUCUUAAGCUUUGAGAAAUUGACUGUAAAUAUUACAGCUUAAUAAAUAUUAUAUACAUAAAUGGCAUAUAAAUUAAAAUACAAAUUAUACAUAUUUAGAACGUAGUUACUUACAAUUGCUUAAAGCUCACCUGAUCAGCCAAGGCCUAUCUUCUUCAAGAUCACGCUGAAAUUGCACCUGCUUGGUUACAGUAUCUCCUAGGGUGAAAUGACCCUUACUGAGAAUGGUCAAAAUAAGAAAGAAAAAUUAUGGUACACAAAUCUUAUGUGUAAAGACAGAGCUGUAGAAAAAAAAAAUGCUCAGAGAAGGAUAAAUAUAUCAAUUUUACCAAAGUUAUUUUUAAGAAAAUAAAUGCUUCAAAGUCAAAUAAAAUUUAUUCAUUUAAUUAAAAAUUGCAAAUGCUAUGGUGAAUGAAAUUAAAGGCCUCUGACUUUACAAAGUUUACAUUGUAGAGUUUGGAAAAUAAAGCCAAUUAGGUAAUAAAUAAUAGGCACGUGUCACCACACCUGGCUAAUUUUAGUAUUUUUAGUAGAGGUGGGGUUUCACUAUGUUGACCAGACUGGUCUCGAAUUCCUGAACUCAUGAUCCACCCACCUCAGCCUCCCAAAGUGCUGGGAUUACAGGUGUGAGCCACUGCACCAGGCCAAUACUCUCUUUUCUUAAAGAAAAUGUGGGUAGAUCACAAGGUCAGGAGAUCAAGCCCAUCCUGACUAAAAAGGUGAAACCCCGUCUCUGCUAAAAAGAACAAAACAUGAUCCGGAUAUGGUGGUGCACGCCUGUACUCUCGCCGAGGCAGGAAAAUCACCGGAACCCUGGAGGGGGAGGUUGCAGCAUGCCGAGAUCUCACCACUCCACUCCAGCCUGGCAGAAGACGGAGACUCCAUCGAAAAAAAGAAAAAUAAAUCCACUCAAAGUAAAUUAGACACUUGAAUGUAAGGCUUGAAACUCUGAAACGAUUACUACAAAAAAAAAAAAGUCCCAUAACAUUGGUUGGGCAGUGACUUUUUGUAUUUAAACUCGAAAUCCCAGGGAACAAAAGGAAAAAUAAGAGUUAGAAUACUACAAAUUAAAAUGCUGCUGCACAGAAUAUGAUACAAUCAACAGGAUAUCUAAAAAGUGAGACAAGAGGUUAAUAUAAAAAAUAUAUAAGAAACUUAAAUGACUAUACAACAAAAAAGAAGACACUAUUAAAAAUGAGCUAAAAGCAUACAUAUUUCUUCUUUUCUUUUUCUUUUU